rnacentral:rRNA from 1 species
GAUGAACGCUGGCGGCGUGCCUAAUACAUGCAAGUCGAACGCUGGAAAUCUAGCUUGCUAGCUUGAAGGAGUGGCGAACGGGUGAGUAAUACAUAAGCAACCUACCCACGAAGACUGGGAUAAUCUCUGGAAACGGGGACUAAUACCGGAUAGGUAAUCGGAAGGCAUCUUCUGAUUAUUAAAGGUUAAAAACACUGGUGGAUGGGCUUAUGGCGCAUUAGUUAGUUGGUGAGGUAACGGCCCACCAAGACGAUGAUGCGUAGCCGGCCUGAGAGGGUGAACGGCCACAUUGGGACUGAGACACGGCCCAGACUCCUACGGGAGGCAGCAGUAGGGAAUUUUCGGCAAUGGGGGAAACCCUCACCGAGCAACGCCGCGUGAGUGAUGACGGCCUUCGGGUUGUAAAGCUCUGUUGUAAGGGAAGAACGGUAGAUAGAGAAUAUCUAAAUGACGGUACCUUACCAGAAAGCCACGGCUAACUACGUG